UACGGGAGGCAGCAGUGGGGAAUAUUGCACAAUGGGCGCAAGCCUGAUGCAGCCAUGCCGCGUGUAUGAAGAAGGCCUUCGGGUUGUAAAGUACUUUCAGUCGUGAGGAAGGUGUUAAGGUUAAUAACCUUAGCAAUUGACGUUAGCGACAGAAGAAGCACCGGCUAACUCCGUGCCAGCAGCCGCGGUAAUACGGAGGGUGCGAGCGUUAAUCGGAAUUACUGGGCGUAAAGGGCACGCAGGCGGUUAAUUAAGUUGGAUGUGAAAUCCCCGGGCUUAACCUGGGAAUGGCAUUCAAGACUGGUUAGCUAGAGUCUUGUAGAGGGGGUAGAAUUCCAUGUGUAGCGGUGAAAUGCGUAGAGAUGUGGAGGAAUACCGGUGGCGAAGGCGGCCCCUGGACAAAGACUGACGCUCAUGUGCGAAAGCGUGGGGAGCGAAACAGGGAUUAGAU
rnacentral:rRNA from 1 species